rnacentral:rRNA from 1 species
AACGAACGCUGGCGGCAUGCCUAACACAUGCAAGUCGAACGAGAUCUUCGGAUCUAGUGGCGCACGGGUGCGUAACGCGUGGGAAUCUGCCCUUCCGUUGGGAAUAACUGAGAUAAAUUUGAGCGAAUACCUUAUAAUGUCUUCGGACCAAAGAUUUAUCGCCGAGGGAUGAGCCCGCGUCGGAUUAGCUAGUUGGUGGGGUAAUGGCCUACCAAGGCGACGAUCCUUAGCUGGUCUGAGAGGAUGAUCAGCCACACUGGGACUGAGACACGGCCCAGACUCCUACGGGAGGCAGCAGUGGGGAAUAUUGGACAAUGGGCGAAAGCCUGAUCCAGCAAUGCCGCGUGAGUGAUGAAGGCCUUAGGGUUGUAAAGCUCUUUUACCAGGGAUGAUAAUGACAGUACCUGGAGAAUAAGCUCCGGCUAACUCCGUGCCAGCAGCCGCCGUAA